rnacentral:lncRNA from 1 species
AACAAACAUCAUUUAAAUAAGCUAAAGCCGAGUAAAAGGAGACAAUUAAAAUAUCCCAUCAUUUUAAGUAUUUUACAAUUUGAAAAUUCAUCCCAACCCAUGCAAACGGUUGUAUUUCAUUUAAUUUCUCAUUAGGGCUUAUGACUUUCAUAAACAGUUAGCUCAUGCCAUCAAAUAUACUCGAUGACACCUUGAUCAGAGGCGUACACUCGAGCCCACCAAGGCUAUUAAAAAUUUCGUAUACACGUAAAAUAUAUUUUUAGUUUGAGAAAACAUAGCCAUUUCCUUGGAGUUGGCUGAGUUUCCCUUCACGUGGUGGUUUAGCGUGAAGUGAACCCUAAGCUUUACCCCAAGAGAUACCCUACGCACCUCUCCGUUCGAGGUAAGAAUAUAAUGGGGUUUACCGUGCCCCUCUAAAAGGCUGGUCCACAGAAACCCCCUACUGCAGUGAUUAAUUAAUAUAUAAUCCACCAAUCAAUAAAAUUCAUUCUAGCAUGACAUGACAAUUAUUAUAAUUCACAGCCUUUCAAGGCUAAAUACACAUUUCAUAUAUUUCAACAC